CGUGUAGGCGGCCAGGUAGGUCGGUUGUGAAAACUGGAGGCUCAACCUUCAGACGUCGACCGAAACCAUCUGGCUAGAGUCCGGGAGAGGAGAGUGGAAUUCCUGGUGUAGCGGUGAAAUGCGCAGAUAUCAGGAAGAACACCCGUGGCGAAAGCGGCUCCCUGGAACGGUACUGACGCUGAGACGCGAAAGCGUGGGGAGCGAACA
rnacentral:rRNA from 1 species